rnacentral:misc_RNA from 1 species
GAAAUGUGAUAAGUAAUGUGAAUUGCAGAAUUCAGUGAAUCAUCGAAUCUUUGAACGCACAUUGCGCCCGCCAGCAUUCUGGCGGGCAUGCCUGUUCGAGCGUCAUUUCAACCCUCGAGCCCCCCCGGGGGCCUCGGUGUUGGGGGACGGCACACCAGCCGCCCCCGAAAUGCAAUGGCGACCCCGCCGCAGCCUCCCCUGCGUAGUAGCACACACCUCGCACCGGAGCGCGGAGGCGGUCACGCCGUAAAACGCCCAACUUUCUUAGAGUUGACCUCGGAUCAGGUAGGAAUACCCGCUGAACUUAAGC